GCCGUCGUGGCUCAAUGGUAGAGCGUCGCUUUCCUAUUUCGAUUACGUAAGCAUUCGGAGAUUACGGAAGAGGCGAAGGUUGCGGGUUCGAGUCCCGUCGUCGGUA